CUUCGGAUAAUCGGUGAUUGCGUUGCAGUUCCUGGAAUUAAGUUGACUGUGUAGCCUGUGAGGGCAAGGCUUGAAUAAUGCUCCUGAAGUCAGCAACUUGAUUCCAGCAAUUGCGGCCCGAUAUUCCUCAACAAUGAGAA
rnacentral:pre_miRNA from 15 species